GCGUGCUUGGCGUAACGGUAACACGUGUUGUGCCACUUGUCAGUUACGUAAUGAUUUGUAUCACACAAGGUGAGGGUUCGAAUCCCUCAGCGCGCA